rnacentral:rRNA from 1 species
GGGGAAUAUUGCCCAAUGGGAGCCUGAUGCAGCCAUGCCGCGUGUGUGAAGAAGGGGGGAAUAUUGCACAAUGGGCGCAAGCCUGAUGCAGCCAUGCCGCGUGUGUGAAGAAGGCCUUCGGGUUGUAAAGCACUUUCAGUUGUGAGGAAAGGUUAGUAGUUAAUACCUGCUAGCU